GGGAUUGUAGUAUAGUGGUCAGUACUUCUCGUUGUGGUCAGUUCGGCAUACAACGAUCCGAGAGGACCCAGGUUCGAUUCCUGGCAAUCCCA
rnacentral:tRNA from 1 species